rnacentral:lncRNA from 1 species
GAGGCGGCCUGACGGUGCCCGCCGGGCCGCUGGUCGUCAGCGCGAAGCCCGGCCUCCUCUCGUCUUCCUGAGAUGCGACAGCCUGCCCGGCAGGAAGAAGGAUUCCAAUGAGAAGGCAAGAGGACACGCAGCAGCCCUGGGUGGCAUGAGUAACCUUCCAGAACAAAUGAGGAGUAAGCCUGCCUCUCCAGGGAUGACCACAGCACCCCUCACCCUGGAACAAGCAAGUCAGAAGUCCCGUGUUCUGGAGGCUAAGGCAGCAAGUCGAUACUGGACUAACUAUGUGGAUUGAGAAAGCGAAUGUAGUGUCUCACCUGCAUGAAAAGAAUGAAGAAAUGUUGAAACUCCCCCCAAAAUAAUUAAAUGGCAGAUUUCUUUUUCUUCAAAUUUAUGACAAGAAAAUAUGGUAUUAUCUAGUAAAUAAUAAUAUAAACCCAGAAAUAUGAAUAAAAAUCAGUAGAAAUAAG